rnacentral:sRNA from 1 species
GGCACAGAUACUGCAUAUGCUAGGGCGGAGCCCGGCGGUAUCGCCGGGGAAGCUGGCCUAGGGGCCGGCGUGAUGCUUC